GGUCUUCUAGUUUAGUGGUUAGAACAUCCGUCUGAUAUUCCUUGCCAUAUCAGUGACGCGGGAAAACGAGGUUCGAUUCCUAGGAGGACUA
rfam:Pseudocercospora fijiensis CIRAD86 unplaced genomic scaffold MYCFIscaffold_2, whole genome shotgun sequence.